rnacentral:rRNA from 1 species
GUGCCAGCAGCGGCGGUAAUACGUAGGUGGCAAGCGUUGUCCGGAAUUAUUGGGCGUAAAGCGCGCGCAGGCGGUCCUUUAAGUCUGAUGUGAAAGCCCACGGCUCAACCGUGGAGGGUCAUUGGAAACUGGAGGACUUGAGUACAGAAGAGGAAAGCGGAAUUCCACGUGUAGCGGUGAAGUGCGUAGAGAUGUGGAGGAACACCAGGUGGCGAAGGCGGCUUUCUGGUCUGUAACUGACGCUGAGGCGCGAAAGCGUGGGAGCGAAACAGGAUU